rnacentral:rRNA from 1 species
UGCGUAGGGUGCGAGCGUUAAUCGGAAUUACUGGGCGUAAAGCGUGCGCAGGCGGUUCGCUGUGUCCGAUGUGAAAGCCCCGGGCUUAACCUGGGAAUGGCAUUGGAAACUGGCGAGCUUGAGUGUGGCAGAGGGGGGUGGAAUUCCGCGUGUAGCAGUGAAAUGCGUAGAGAUGCGGAGGAACACCGAUGGCGAAGGCAGCCCCCUGGGCUAACACUGACGCUCAGGCACGAAAGCGUGGGGAGCAAACAGG